AUCAAAAUGGUUCUCUCUCCCUGCCGGGUCUGAAUCACAAGGGAAUUUUUAUUCCGUAAUUACUGUGAGCAUCCCGUAGAACUCUGCACGUAAGACAAAAAAAGUGUGGGGGCUGGCGAUCUGUGGCCUUGCAGUUUUUACCUCACAUUCUCGUCCAUGGUGAGCUUUCAGCAACUCACCGGUUGCAGUUUCGGUUUCCUCCCCGGGCACUGGCUCCUGUGAAGGUUUCUCCUGUGGUUUGGGAGUACUGAGUGACAUCACUGAAUCCAAAUGAAAACCCUCCCAGUGGGCAUAACCAGGAUUUUCAGGCAGUCUCUUAAGAGAAGGUAUCUUCCUGGAGGUUGGCUUGGAGAAUAUGAUAUAUUUAAAAAAUGAUAGCAAUAAAAUAGAGCAGAUUGUAGAGAAUAAACUUAUUUUGAGAUGAAAACUGAAGAUUAUGCAGCAGUCUAGGAAAAGGAGGAUACAGCUUUCAAGCAACAAUGAGAAUAUUUACUACAAUGACAUCUCUUCAAGAUAGAUUUCCAAACCCUUCAAGACCUGAAAAGAUGGUACUGAUUAUUUCCCACAUGUUUGUCAAGGUCACUGAGGGAAAAAAUAGUAUAAGAAGUUAAUAUUGCAGGAAAGACUUCACAUCAAAAAUGAAAUAAUAUUUGAGACUGAAAAAGAUAUAUUAUCCCCAUAGCUCUGCCAAACUCAGUGUCUACACAAAUUAUUAUCUCUCUUUUAAGUGUCAGUAAGUUAUAGUUAUGUAAGUUACAGUUCUCUAAGGGCAGCUUUAACUGCUUUCUGUUACUUAGAAAUUUCCUCUGUUUUACUUCUCUCAGUGAAAAUGAGUUCCAUUUUUACAAUGCCAUUUCCUUUUAUGUCAGAAUUGUGUGUCAUGGUAUAGAGUUUCCAAUUGAAUAUACCUAUUCUCUUUCUCACUACAAAAUAUACAUACCAAAUGAAUAUCUUAGGUAUAACUUGCUAAAAUAAAGGAUAUCACAUUUCA